ACCACAGUGCUCCUGGCCUGGCCCCAGCUUCCAGCCUGCUUACCCUGUCUUGUGUUUCAGGGAGUCCGAGGCAUGGAUGGUCCCCAUGGCCCCAAAGGGAGCUUGGGACCUCAAGGAGAGCCAGGGCCUCCCGGACAACAGGGCACUCCUGGAACUCAGGUGAGUGGUCCUGCCUACCCAUCUUCCCAAACUUAGUGAUGCCAUGUAGGCCUUGUA
rnacentral:lncRNA from 1 species